UACGUAGGGUGCAAGCGUUAAUCGGAAUUACUGGGCGUAAAGCGCGUGUAGGCUGCUCUGCAAGUCGGAUGUGAAAGCCCUGGGCUCAACCUAGGAAGUGCACUCGAAACUGCAGAGCUGGAGUCCUGGAGAGGAAGGCGGAAUUCUCGGUGUAGAGGUGAAAUUCGUAGAUAUCGAGAGGAACACCGGUGGCGAAGGCGGCCUUCUGGACAGUGACUGACGCUGAGACGCGAAAGCGUGGGGAGCAAACAGG
rnacentral:rRNA from 1 species